UUAUAUUGUGUGUUUCUCUUACUGCAAAACAAGAGAUAAUUGUUGGUGGUUUGGUUACCUUGAGAGGUGUGAGCGAAGGUAUCAUGUCCAUGUCUCACUUACGUUAUGCCCCCAAAUCACAUAACGUUUCUUGUAUUGAACUCCCACCGAGAAUGAUGUAUAUAUUCUGGCAACAAUAGUUUUGUGAUGUUGGCCGGCACUAUUCCUACCAUUUUGGGAUCCUUAGGCUCAUGAAAUCCCAUCGCAUCACUAUUCCUACCAUUUUGGGAUCCUUAGGCUCAUGAAAUCCCAUCGCAUACCUUGGUUUACAAUUUAACAUGAUACGUUUUUUUUUUCUUUUUGGUAUCAAUUCGGGAACAACUGUGUAAAUAAUUUUGAUACGGAAUAAUUGAUCAUAUUGUAAAAUGUUCGG
rnacentral:lncRNA from 1 species